rnacentral:lncRNA from 1 species
GGCCGAGGCUGCGGCGCGCUGGCAGCGGGUGGACUCGCUCAACCUGGGAGUCCUUUCACCUUCCCUGUUUUAUAAAUGGCAAACCUUUCCUAAACAAGCUGUCCAUCCAACCGCCAAAACCACAGGACAAGAAUUUCUACUCAAGGGGGAAACAGCAAGAAAGAAAAAAAGGUCACCAUUCCUAGAGCAGAGUUGCUUCUGGGAAGCAAUUGCCUGGCCAGAGACUACAUUUCCCAGCCUCCCUUGCACGGAUGUGGGACUAUGGACUAGCUCUUAUCAGUGAAACAAGAGCAGAGCUGAAGAGUGAGUUUAGAUGCCACUGAUACAAUCCCAACAUCACAAAAUGGAAGGAGUUUGGGUUCCAGAGUAACCAGCCUCACAGGAGAGCUGCCAGACUUGCCUUGGACAGUGACACGAGGGAGAAACAAACGUAUAUGUGAGAUCGCUGAGGUCAUGUUACCGCGACUGAAGUAAGAUAAGGUGGUGUCCGGAGUAUGGGGUCUGGAGCUUGACUACCUGGAUUCAAAUCCCUGCUCAGUCAUCUCUUGGCUGUGUGACUUAAGAUGAGAAGAUACAUCUGCUUCUGCUUCUAAGAGUCGGUGAUUCUCAUCCUUCUCUCUGCACUUGCCCUUGCCGUGUCCUUGGUCAGCACAGAGGAAGGACAACAGCCCAUCUCCCUCACAUCGGAAGUGGCUCCACAAGUUGGCCUUCACUGCCAUCAACCCUAACAGGUGUGGUGCUCUAUCUCCACAGUCCUCCAGAGCGCCCUCAAGUCCCUCAGGGUGUCUUUACUCCAAGAAGGGGUUCUAGACUAGACAAGCAGAGGUGUUGCAGAAAGGAAGAUACUGCAAAGGAUUCAGGCAGCAAAGGGUGUGCUCCCCACACUGGGGAAGACAUCUGGGCAGAAGGGCCUGGGCUGGACCUCACAUCCAUCCCUCUUCCCUUGGGGUCCUUGACCACCCUUGAGAAUGGCACCUACAUGCUCUAAUUCUCCAUAAAAUCCAGAGGCAAAAUGUCCCUGCUGUAAAGACCUUGAACCCUUUUUGGGAAGGUUUUAUGAACUUAAUAUCAUGGGUUGCUCUAACCCCAACCUUUGUCCUGACAGCAUCUGCUCAGGGAGUUUGAGAUUCAGCCAGUCUGUAAAGAGCUUCAGAUCCAGGGCUUUGAGGUGGGGAGAAGUGGUCACCUUGGAGAAAGCAGGAAACUGUGGCCAGCUGGGGCAUUCUUUGCUAUAGAUUCCAAGAGACAAACUUGCUGAUCCCAGGUCAAGUCUGCCCCUGCUUCCCUGCAUCUAGAACCAUCUCUGGCUCCACCUCCCAUUAACACCCCAGAACAGAUUCCCUACCCACCUCCUCAAGAAGAACAUUGCCUCCGGGGAUUUUCUAAGAGUUUUUAGGAUAAGCAGCAGUUAGAAGCUAACAAUAAGUAAAAUUUCCAGAAAUCAAGAGAAACUUGCAAUGUUCCUUGACACUUUAAAUGAUGCACUUGAAACAAGAGGCUUACAUUAGGAUCUAAAUUAGAGUUCUUGAGUGGCUUUUUGUAUUUUUUCUUUCACGUUAACCUGACUACAACUUUAUCUUCUCCAUUCACUUCCAAGAAGUCCUUAUAUAAUAAAGAGUUGAAGGUCUUAACCUCUCAAUCUCAACUCAACUCAAAUUACAAAGUUUACAUGCCUUUGGGGAUGGCUGUAUUAAGUAAAUAGAGAGGAAUGGUCACAUUCAGUGUAAGCUAAAACACCCAAGGCUGGCAGUAGGAAAAGGAGCUACCUACCUAUCAGGUCUUUCAUAAAGCCAGUCCCUUAAGUAGAAAGAAUAAAGUUCUCUCAAGACUUACCCUAUGGACUGCCUUUCACAGCUGGUUCAUAUUUAUAAGCCAAUUUGUCUGGAAGUAAAUCUCUUUAACACACCCAACUGACUCCAAGAGGUGUGUCCCAUGGGAACCAAUCUUAAAUAACUGUCUCAAGAAAAGUUUUAGCAGCAAUAUUGUCAGUCCUGGAAUUUCCACCUUUGGGGGGAAAAAAAAUCAACAAUAGAAUGCUUGGAAAUACAGAAUACACAGAGUUUAGCAAACUGCCAAAUUAAAUUCAGACACACACACACAAAUUUGCUAAUACCUGGUUAAAGAGUUGGCAUGGGAAGAAACAGACUUCUCAUUCAAGCCUGAAGCUCGGUAAUGGGUCAUUUGACCUGAAAUAACUUGGGCGGAAGUUGGCCUUAUUGUCUUCCACAAUCUCUUCCCACACAGUCAAAAAAGGGGAUGCAAUCUUAAGAUUUUUUCUUCCUCAUUCUCUCCCGCCCUUUCUCCUCUCCCUCCCUCCCUUUUAUUUUCUCUCUCUCCUUUCUUCCUUCUUUUCUUUCUCUUUCAAUCUUUGGGCAUCAAAAAGGGUAUCCCAGAAAACUUCAAAUGAAGUUUUAGAAGAGGACCGUGUGUUGGUUUCAGUUGUUUUUAGGGUGGGGGCUUGAACAACCUCAUCUCAAAAACGGAGAUUUUUUUUAUUACCUCUUUUGGUUGAGAUAUAAUUAAUAUAUAAUAAAGCUAUCUAAUUUACUGAAUUGGUCUGAUUCACAAGUUAAAUAAGGUUAAAUCAAAGAAAACAUGUAUAAGUCCCUCUAGACAGUGUCCAGGGUUGACUGGAUUAUAAACAGACAUAACCACUGAGGUCACUUUUUAAUUUAAAAACCCUCAAUGGCUCCUGACUUCCUACAGAACAGUCUAAAAAUCUAAGGCUCAAAAAUGUCAGGCUCUCCUUUCUAGUGCUACCUGCUGCCCCCAUCUCUUAUACAUACCAUUUGUCAGAUGCAACCAGAUAAUAGAAAUUUCCAGUCUCUCAGCUUCCUCCUGCUGCCCCAGGUCUGCUUAUCAAGGCCCUGCCCAUCCUUCAAAGUCAGAAGUCAUCUCCUCCAUGGAGUCCUCCAGCAUGUGAACGUUCCCAAGGAUGGAAUAAACACCAUUUCUUAUGACAUGCCACUCGGUGGCCUCAGCAGGACCUGGAUUGGAUUUCUGUAUCAGCUCCUUACCUGCUGGAUGCCCUGGGAUGAGAGACUUGAUUACCUCUUGCCUUCAUUUUCCUCAUCUGUAAAACAAGGAUGGUGUUAUUUUUAUUUCCUGGAUCAGAAGGAGGAGGACAUUAAUAUAUGAAUUAGAUUAAUAUAUGGAAAGAACAUGAGGCCAGCCCCUGCCCCCAGAAAAAGAGUCCAUACUGUUGCUAAGUUAUAAUUAGACCUUAUGUCAGGACCCUAGAUGAUUAAGCAUUUUCUCCAUGGCAUGUGCUUGGAAAAGGAUGCUUUAUGCAAGAAUGUCACGGAUGGAUAAAAGUUACCAAGACUUGCUAUAUAGCACAAGGAACUCUACCCAAUAUUCUGUGAGAACCUAUAUGGGAAAAGAAUAUGAAAAAGAAUGGAUAUGUUGGAGUCCCUGUUGUGGCUCAGCAGUAACGAACCUGACUAGGAUCCACGAGGAUGCAGGUUCAAUCCCUGGCCUCACUCAGUGGGUUAAGGAUCCGGCAUAGCUCUGAGCUGUGGUGUAGGUCGCAGAUGUGGCUCGGAUCCUGAGUGGCCCUAAAAAACAACAACAACAACAACAACAAAAAAUGGAUAUGUGUAUGUGUAUAACUGAAUCACUUUGUUGUACAGCAGAAAUUAAUACAACAUUGUAAAUCAACGACACUUCAAUAAAACUUUUUAAAAAAU